AUUGAACGCUGGCGGCAGGCUUAACACAUGCAAGUCGAGCGGGGUGAUGGUGCUUGCACUAUCACUUAGCGGCGGACGGGUGAGUAAUGCUUAGGAAUCUGCCUAUUAGUGGGGGACAACAUCUCGAAAGGGAUGCUAAUACCGCAUACGUCCUACGGGAGAAAGCAGGGGAUCACUUGUGACCUUGCGCUAAUAGAUGAGCCUAAGUCGGAUUAGCUAGUUGGUGGGGUAAAGGCCUACAAAGGCGACGAUCUGUAGCGGGUCUGAGAGGAUGAUCCGCCACACUGGGACUGAGACACGGUCCAGACUCCUACGGGAGGCAGCAGUGGGGAAUAUUGGACAAUGGGCGAAAGCCUGAUCCAGCCAUGCCGCGUGUGUGAAGAAGGCCUUUUGGUUGUAAAGCACUUUAAGCGAGGAGGAGGCUACUAGUACUAAUACUACUGGAUAGUGGACGUUACUCGCAGAAUAAGCACCGGCUAACUCUGUGCCAGCAGCCGCCGUAA
rnacentral:rRNA from 1 species